UAUCAUAUCAAAAAUGACGCUCUUUUC
rnacentral:sRNA from 1 species